rnacentral:sRNA from 1 species
ACUCACCUCACCCUCACCUCACUCACGGCCUCACAUUCCCAUUCCUCCAUUUCACACAGCCGACCCCUCUUCCUUGUCGACAUUCUCCGUUGAUUUAUUCGUUAAUGGAGAGAGAGAGAGAGAGAGAGAGAGAGAGAGAGAGAUUCUUGUAACAAAAAAACCCAUUUAUCCAUUUCAUUAGCCGCUCCUUUUGCAAUCAAACCAAAAACACUUCUCCAAGGAAGGGGAAGCUGCUUUCUGCUGAUUUCAACUCUCAGUUACUGUCUCUUCAGAGGUUUUUGAUACCUAAAUUAAGCUUUGGUUCGCCCACAACUCAAACUCCCGCAGCGCAGACUUGUUGUGGACUCGGUUUCCAGAGUCAGGUCAUUUGGAGGCUCCCUGUACUGAGUUGUGUGACUUCUCAACUGAUCUUUCUUCAUUUGCUAUUUUAGGGAUGACGGACCAAACCCUUGAAUGCAUGAUGAUUUGGUGUUCAAAUAAUUUGGUAUUCGGAACCGUAAACCGGUAAGAAUCGAAUCGGAAUUGGUUUAGACAGAACCGUACGGUUCUAGUAAUAAAUUUAAGCGAAACUGUAUCGAACCGAACCGUUGAUAUUUUAAGGUUCCGGGUCUGGUUUAGGGGUGGAACCGCAUUGAACCGCAUUGAACCGCACCGUGCCCACCCCUAGUCACUGUGAUUUAAUGGUACUCAUGUUCAAUUUUUGGAUUUGAUUUGAAGGAAUUUCUUAAGAAGAAAGGUUAGGGUUUCUUGGAGAUUUAAUUUUUUUUAAUAUUGAUUUUCCUCAUCGGAACGACUUCAAGACCAUUAUCAUUAGCUAAGCCCUUGAUAGUAACGUCCA